UCAGUCAGAAAAGCAUCUUCCCCAUUUCCAAGCAGAGCUGUCUGAUCGUCAAGGUCUCAGCUCACUGCCGCCUUCCCAGAGAAGCCUUCCCUGACUGCACUCUCUAAAGCCUCGACUCUGUCCUCUGUUUAUUCCACCACGUCAAUCUUAGGGUUUCUUUCAUCACAAGUAUUGUAGUUAGCAUAACAUUACCAAUCUAUGGUACCAAUCUACCAAGCUGAUCUAUUUAUUUGUGCAUUUAUGAUCUGUACUCCUUGCAAUAAUCAUUAUUAUUCAAUUAUAUUCAAUAUGAUGUACUAGAAAGAUUUGGGGAUGCGGAGUUUGAUGGAAGAUUAAUUGUUGGUCCCAUUAUUUACCCAUUUUGUGAUAUUGUGAUUUACUUUCUCUCUCUGUGCCUUAUUUUCCUCAUCAGUAGAAUGGGAUUAACAUAGCAUUAUAAGGUUGUUGUUAGGAUUAAUGAGACAACAUCCAUAAAGUCCGAAGCAGAGUUUUUCCUGCUACUGCAUAUUGAUUCAUGGUAUUUCUAAAGAUGCUCACUUUCAUAUAAUUGCGUCCCAAGAAAAAUCAUUUAAGAAUUAUUCAAGAUGUCUUCAUAAACAUGUCCCAUUUUUAUGGUAUGAGUCGAGGAAAUGCUGUGGGCACCUUCACCAUGCAAACCAGUAGAAUAAACACGAGUAGAAUGGCCAUCAUCCUCAGAGAACAGGGAAGGAAGAAGGCAAAGCUUCCUGGGUCCACAUGGUGAAACACUGCCAGCCCAAGAGAUCCAGCAGAGACAAGGACGUUCAGAACCUUGGUGGUCUCUCGGAUUUCUCCUCCAGGGUAGUGUCCUCUCUCUGUUAGAGUUGGAAAGACAUCACCUGCUCAGAGGCUUCGUUAAUCUUCAGUAAUGCGAGGAUCCGCAGGAAGGGUCAUCUGGGGUACUGAGAACCGUCUGCUCAAGGCUCUCAUGGUGACCAGGCCCUGUGCAGGUCGAGUUCCUGAGCUCCUCCAAGCCUCAAGCCUCUUCAUCAGGCUCCCAGUGGAGCAGGGAGCCUGAUGCGGGUCUUGAUCCCAGGACCCUGGGAUCACGCCUUGAGCUGAAGGCAGCCGCUUAAUGACUGAGCCACCCAGGCGCCCCUGUCACCUUUAAACACAGUGAAUGCAUCUAUCCAGGCUGGCUGGAAAACCCAGAAGGCAGUCAAAAUUGAUGGGGCCUUUUCCGAGUUGCAUGACCUUGCAUAAGUCACUCCA
rnacentral:lncRNA from 1 species